ensembl:lncRNA
GAGAACUCAGAAAGAACUCAAAGGUGAACUUCAUGUUCGGGGGUACUCCAGGUUAAGGCAGUAGAUUCAGUGUUUCCCACACGUAGACUAAUUUGUGGCGGUGCGCCACAGAUUCAACACCGGCUAACACACAUUGCAUUUGGUGUAUUUAUUUCGUUUUAACGCUAUUUAACUCACGCAGCGUAUUCGUUCAGCUGCAUUUCCUUUCCCUGCUCUCCCUUCGUCUCUCACCCACACGUCACACACACAAACACACACACACCCUCCCCUCCGUGCACACCGUGUCUGUCUCGCGUGUCAUCAAAACAAGAUCAUUCGUGGAAGCGUAGCCUAGCCUAUAGGGUGCAGAGAAGACGUUGCUCUGACAGAAGUGGCAGACUUUGCGCAUGUAGGCUGUAACAACAAGUAGUAUAGGGUGUGAAAUGUGUACUGCAGCUAUGGGAUAUAUAGUGUGAAUUGUGUAUAGUUCUAUCUAGUGAUGUGUGUUUUAGUAUGACGUUAGUAUAGGCGUGAAUCCCUGUUUUGUAUUUACUCCUUGUACUUACUAGUUCUGUGUUACAAAUUAAUGUUACAAAUUAUUCCAGUUCCACGGUCAGCCCCCACACAUUAACAUUGGAUCUGUGGGAAACACUGAGAUGGUUCCCAUUAACAUGGCAAAGCCUGCGAGGACGUCUCUGAGCUUAUGUAGGUUGAUCUUCUCCUCUGCUACCACAGCCACAUUGAAGACUUCCAAAGGAAAUGUAUCCUGCUGUUUUCCUUCAUGUCCAACCUGCAUUCCUUUCAUGAUGACAUCAAGGGUUUCUCUAUUGGCCUGAAGAUGUAUAAAGACAUUAGAGUAUUAACCAAUACUCUAAUAACCAAUAAUUUUUGGUGCUGAGAUAUUCAUUUUACAUAUAAUUGUCACCAACAUUUAAGUUGAUCGCGCUGCCUCUGUCCCUUUUCCUUGUGGCGCACACAGAAACAGAGAUAUACUUUUCACAAUCCGAUUCUGACAAAUAAAACGUUCUUUGUUCUUUGAAAUGGC